CCACAAUAAACAAAAAGAUCGAAUGCUAUGUUGCUGAUCAAUCUCCUGUAUGUCGUUUUCAAAAUCUGACUUGUGUUUUCUGCAGAUGGCUUCUCGAACUUGCCUAAAGAACAAGUCUGCGCCUUCUAAGGAAGCAAAGGCUAGAAAGAAGAAAAGAGCUCAAUAGCGUAUAUCACUGGGGCGUGAAGAAGCUUAAACCUGUAGCUCGGAAACCAAAACCUACAAAAUUUUGUCGAUACUAUCUCAAGGGACCGUGUCAUGAGGGAGGAGACACAUGUAAAUUUUCACACGAUGCAACUCCGGAAACCAAAUCUUUGCCUUGCUGCCACUUUGCAAAACGCACAGAACUAUUCAUAAUCAAGCAAAACGCACAGAACUCUGGUAAUUCAGAGCUUGAAGCAGUCACAACAGAGAAUCUCUGUUCCUUUGGUGCCUCCAAAAGGGAUCAGUUUCUUAUCAUAUGAACUGGAAGAACCAGCAAGUAGUAGAAACGACAAGACAACGCCUAACUCACACAUUCAGAGUUCUUUAAACUCUGCCAUGAAACUUGCUGCAGAAUUGGAAUCCGCUAAAGUUGAAAGACGAACAUGUGAUCAUGCAGAAGCUGUAAAUAAGGGAGACGUUACAGUUAAUACGAGUGUAACCAGAAACUCAGCGAACAUAUCUUCCAAGAUUCUCGAGUUAUUCUUUAUUUAAAGGUUUCAUUUCUUGUGAGAAUAGAUAAAUCCACCGGGUUGUAAAUAUAUAUUGCAUUAAUCUUAAUAUGAGUCACCAAAUGAUAAACGGGAUUAGUGUUAAUGUAAUAUCAUUUUCUUGUAAACAAAAGAAAAGUAAAAACAAAAAAAUCUUAUGUAAUCUCAUUUAAAAGUAAACAAAAGAAAAGUAAAGAUCUUAUGGAACAUUUUUAUCAACAGUAAAAAAAGAACUAUAGUCGAUAAGUGAAUACUUUUUUGGCUUUUACAGUUAAUAUGAUCAAACCAGAAAGUAGGAGAAUAAAGUUUUCCAGCAUGUAAAUUUCCUUUUUGGUGAAUGUGUUGGAAAUAUAUUAAUUUGUUUUUACUUUACUAACAUAAAAGAAGAGACCAUACACAAUCUGACAUGAUUGAUUGACCAUUUAUAAUUUUUUACAUUUUAAGAGUUUUGAUGAUUCUAAAAAUAAAUAAAUUUGAAUGUCACUUUACAUUUUAAGAGUAUAAAUUUGAACUUUAUAAUAUCCAUACAACUUGCCAUGUGUAACACUAGUCCCUGGGCAGACACAUGUCCUUGUGUGGAAACUCGGCUAGGAAAGCAUAAUGUUAUUGCUCGUGUGUACGUGGACUUACUUGAUAAAGUUGAAUAUAUAUGUGUAUAUAUAUAUAUAUGUGUCUGUUAUCUUAUAAUCAGUGAAAAAAGUUAUUUAAAUUUGGAUAUGAAGUUAGCAUUAGUUUUGAGUAAUAAUUCAGGAAUUUAAGGUAUAAAUUACUAACAAGAAUCGAUAAUACUAGAAUGAAAAACCUGAUAUUGAUACUCCGAGAAUAUAUGUAAAUACAGGAACAAAAAUGACAAUCUUCUGAGCUGGUGGUAGUUACAACCUGUCUCUUUCUUUCUGAAACAUCUUUUCUUGGAAAAAGAUAAUCUCUGUUGUCUGUUGAAUUUUACCCCAGAAAAAGAUAUAUCUGUUGUGCAUUAAAAGAUCGUAUCAAAUAGGACAUGUACACAAUAAAUUAAAUGAUCACAUGUAACUUUCUUUUUGGUCGAAGAGCACAUAAAACAAGUUGAAAGACGCACAUGUGAUCAUGCAAAAGCUGUAAAUAAGGGCGACGUUAUAGUUAAUACGAGUGUAAUUAGAAACUCAGGGAACAUUUCUUCUAAGAUUCUCGAGUUCUUGUCCACCUUUAGCCAUUGCAGAGAUUGAUUCUCUGUUUAAAUGUUUCAUUUCUUGUGAGAAUAGAUAAUUCCACGGGAUGGCAAAUGUGAGUGUAAAUAUAUAGCAUUAAUCUAAUAUGAAUUACCAAAUGAUAAACGGGAUUACUGUUAAUGUGCUUUCGUUUUCUUGUAAACAAAAGAAAAGUGAAAGAAAAGAUCUUCGAUAUGUUGACAGUUUUAUUCUUUGACUUGAAAAAUACUAUGAUUCAAAUAGAAAAGUAAAAAAAAAAGAACUUUCUUUGAUCAACAGUAAAAAAGACCUUUAGUAGAUUUUUUUUUUGUUCAAAAGACCUUUAGUAGAUAAGUGAAUACUUCUCCGGCUUUUAAAGUUAUUAUGAUCAAAUUUUUGAAAGUAGGAGCAUAAAGUUUUCUAGCAUGUAAAUUUCCUUUUUGGUGAAUGCUUUGGAACUAUAGUUUGUUUUUACUUUAAUAACAUAAACGAAGGACGUCAAAAAAAAAAGAAGAGAUUAUACAUAAUAGUGUUCCAAAAAAAAAAAAGAUCAUACAUAAUCUGACAUGAUUGAUUGACCAAUUAUAACUUUUUUACAUUUUAAGAGUUUUGUUAAUGAUAUUAAAAAUGAAUAAAUUUUGAAUGUCACUGUUUAGAACUUUAUAUUAUCCAUACAACAUGCCAUGUGUUACACUCGUCCCUGGCAGACACAUGUCUGUGUGGAGACUCGGCUAGGAAAGCAUUAUAAUGUUAUUGCUCGUGUAGAUGGGACUUACUUGAUAAAGUUGAAUAUAUAUAUAUAUAUAUAUGUAUCUAUAUAUAUUUGUGUUCUGUUAUCUUAUAAUCCAAUGUUUCUUAGCAAUGAAAAAAGUUAUCUAACUUUGGAUAUGUAUGUAGUUAGCAUUAGUUUUGACUUUUUGAGUAAUAACUCAAGAAUUUAAGGUACUAAACAACUAACAAGAAUCGAUAAUACUAGUAUGAAAAACCUGACAUUGAUAGUCCAAGAAUAAUAGUAUGUAAAUAUAGGGAUAAAGAUGACAAUCUUUUGAACUGGUGGGUAGUUACAACCUGUCUCUUUCUUUCUGAAACAUCUUUUAUUGGAAAAAGAUAUCUCUGUUGAAUUUUACCCCAGAAAAUAACUUUGUUGUGCUCUAUAAGAUCGUAUCAAAUAAAACAUGUACAAGAAACUUUUUUUGGAUCGAAGUGAAUAUAUUUGUAAUUGGAUAAUUACAAGAAACUAGAUGGUUUAAGCCGUUUCGUUGCUUAAUUUAGGGGAAAAUAUGAGGUUUUCUUAUGUUGAGUUAGGGUAUAAAAGAUAUCUUCUGAAGAGUCGUAGCAAAAGUAUAUAAUCUUCUGAAGAGAGCCAAUAAUAUCUUGGUCUCGGUCUUUUAAAAUGACAUCAUUCAUUCUUGGAACCGACAAAAAAGCAUAUCCUUCAAUGCAGAUCAUCAUGGUUUUUUUCACACGUUAGAUGCAAAUCAAACUUUAUGAUUGUAUUCAUAAGAAAACAACAAAAGGAAAACGCUGUAUGAACAUCUAUAUGAUUCUUUCUUUAACCUACUUAGUAAUCUUUUGGUAAAACUCUUUGUGUCUUUUACCAAAAAAAAGAAAACUCUUUGUGUAUAUAAAACAAAAUAUCUAUAUAUACAUCGAUUAAAUAGUUUAAAUUUCGACAAAUCAAUUAAGUAGCAAAUCCGAAAGAUACUCAGUAUAUUACUAAAAUACCCCAAAAUAUACUGAUUUUGGCCAAGUCUAUAUAUACAUGUUGAUGGGUUUCAGUAAAUCAUGACCUAUAACAUCAUUCCAAUUAGACAUUUUAUCUUUUAGGCACGGUGCGUUCUACUUUCUAUGAGUUUUCAAAUUAUCACGUUGUUUGAUAAACUAGUAUUAUAUAUUUUUAAAAAUCACACACACAAAUCAUGUGCGAUUAAUAAACCAUAGAAAUAUACCCACCAUGCAAUAAAACUGAUUCAAGAAUUCAAGUAACAAAAGUCGACGAUAAAAUGAUCAGACAUCGAUAUGAUGCUCCUCAUGAGUGCAUGCUUAUAUAAAUGGUGACAAUAUACAUUCUAUGGUGUACCUAUGUGGAUAAAAUUGUCCUUCUCUUCUAUACAAAUCAUUUUAUUGGACAAAAGGUUUUUUUCUAACACAGUAGUUCCUGUACCCUAAACAACAUGAAUGGGACCAUGCACAUACUAAGUUAAAUGAUCACAUAAACUAUUCAUCAACAGUUUGUGAUGUUAUUCGAUAUUGAAUACUAUUAACAAAAAUAAAUGGUUUGAGCCGUUUAGAGCAUCUCCAAUGUAUUAUUCCAAAUUUUACUCUAAAAUGGUGUAACUCCAAAAUGGAGUUGGGUUUUACUCUAAUGUAUUACUCCAUUUUUUUACUUCAAACAAAAUAUUUAUUUUUUCAUUUAGUUAAUAAUUGUUAGUAGUACCUUCAACUUAUAAAAAUUUAACAAUAAACCCAACUAUUUUAUGUUUACAAAAUUUCCAUAGUAAUAUAUUCUAUUUAAAUUCAAUAUUUAUCAUUAAAUUACAACUAGAUAUUAUCUUCCAAUUUCAAUCCGUGCAUAUUUUAUCAUAUGGAAUUUUUCUAAUUCAAAAAUAUUUAUAUGCAUUAAAAGAACAAAAAUAAAAAACAAAGUUUUGUUUUGUAAUUUGAAUUAUGUAUUGGAUCUUAUUGUUUGUGCAUAUAUCAAGUUCAACAAGUACAAAUGUUAUCAAUCAAAAUUUUGACCCACAGAUUAAAAAACUCAUCUGUUCCGUUUGAAUAAUACUUCACCAAUUUUGGUAGUUCCAAAAACAAUUUACCGAAUUAAUUAUUAAAUUACUUAUUUAUAUUAUAUUAUAUUUUUUAUAUCAUUUAUUCUUAGUUUUGACUUUUAUGAGUUUAUGCAUAUUUUAUGUAAACUAUAAAGUAAUCUUUUGCGGAGUAUUAUAUUUUUUCAUGUUAUUAUAUUAUUUUAAGUAUGAAAUAAAAACAUUAAAGAUUAAAAGGACUAUUUCAUAAAUAUAAAAAGUUCAACUCCAAAAUGGAGUAGUGAGUAAGAUUACUUUAUAAAUGGAGUAACCCUAGUCAUUACUCCAUUUUGGAGUUGAAUAUAGAGUGGAGUUGGAGAAGAUUUUACUCCAUAAUUGAGAGUUAAAAAUGGAGUAGGGUUGAAGAUGUGAUUAGUAGUGUGUUUAGCCAUUAUAUGAGCUCCUCACUCCUCAGUUUUAUGAGACAUAUAUAUGCUAUAUAUGUUUAUGAACUUGUUUAGCAAUUAGAGACUUUUAUUAUAUGAAAGACCGGUAUUUAUACUGAUAGAAUUCAAGGGAUAUACGCUUUUGUUUGGCUUUUUAAAAUAUUAUGAUCAAAUUAGAAAGUAGGAACAUAAAGUUUCCUUACUGGUGAAUUUCUUGUUUUGUGAAUCUUUGGAAACAUUAUUUAUUUUGUAAUUAGCACACAUAAUCUGACGUGAUUGAUUGGGUUAUAACUUCUCAAGAACCGAUUUAAGAUUUUGAAUACAUAUUUACUUUUUUGGUCAAACGAAUAUAUAUUACUAUAUAUAACUUUAUAUAUUAACGUUUUAUUGACAGUCAUUGGUUACAUACGCUUGUCUCUGGGCAGGCUCGUGUCAGUAAAGCAUUCUUUGCUCUGCCCAUGGGCCAUGGUAAUACAGCAUAUGUAUUUAAAAAGUAAGUGUGUUAUUUAAAAAGUAAGUGUGUUAUAAUCCAAAAUGUCUAAGUAAUGAAGAUACUAGAUGAUUUUAGUUAAAAUUGAAAACGUAACUAGUAUUUUGAGCAAUAAUUCAGGAAUUAGGUUGACAAAAAAAUCAGGAAUUAAGGUAACAAGAAUCGAUAAUAUACAUAAAGAAAAAUCAGGCAUUGAUAGUUUAAUAUCCCUGUCAGAGUAUACUUAUUUAUGUAUAUGGUCCCAUAUGGGGAUCAAGAUUACCUUUUGAGGUGGCAGCUGCAGUUAUAAUUUGUCUCUCGCUUUUUUAUUUAUUUUUUGUUCAAAUAUUUGUCUCUCUUUUAGAAACGUCUUUUAUUGGAAACUAAUAUCACUAUAUAUUGUGCCCUAAACAACAUCGUAUCCACAACGGAACCAUGCAUGUACUACUGAUAGAUUAAAUGAUGUUAUGAAACUAUUUAUCAAUACAGUAUAACCUCUUUAAAUUAAUACUCUAUAAAUUAAUAUACACUAAAAAUUUCUAUAAAAUAAUAUAAUUUUCUAGUUCCAAAUUGAGUUUUUUGUUUAAUUAUUAUAUUAAUAAAUUAAUAUAUCUAUAAAUUAAUAAUAAAAAAAAUAGUUUUAGUGCGCAACAUUAUUAAUUUAAAAAGAUUUCAAUGUAGUUUAUAAUAAUAUUUAUUGUAUUAUCAAUAUUAUAUAAUAAUAAUGUAUAAUAAUUAAUUGAACAUUAAUAAGAAAAUAAAUGGCUUAAGCUGCUGUUUAAGUUGAGAAUGAGAAGAGGUUUUAUAUUGAUAUGAAUUAUGAUUAUAGGGGGCACAAAGAAAUUAUCUGAAGAUGGCAAGUAAACAAGCAUUUUCCUAAAUGUAGAUUGUAGGAAAGUUUUUACUACAUUUACAAGUGAACAAAAGGAAAACUUGAUGAUCAUAUUCUGGAUUAUUUCUGUACUCUAGUUUGAUUGUAUUUUGUUUUGGGGGAACUAUUUUUGUACGUCAACUUUAAACAAACUUUUUUUUUUUUGCUAAGAAUAUGAAUUUCAUUACUAGAAUGGGCAGGUUGUGUAAUACAAAGGUUAAAGCUUACAGGAGAGCACCAUGGCAAAAAGAGAAAAAACAUGGUGUAAACCUGAACUAGAUUAGCAAAAUGCAACAGAUGAUAAAACAGAGGUCUAGGCGAAGGCAAGCCAGCGCCUAAGGAGCCCACCGAAAGCCUUUAUCUUCCGUCGAGCAAGAAUGGAAUCUUUGAUCAGCCUGUCAAGUUGCUUGAACAGAGCCGCUGGUGAUGAUGACAUGUUGUUGUGGAGACGGCUAUUGCGCUCAUACCAGAGGAUGUAGAUUGUUGCUUGGGCCGCAAGACGACGCAAGGUAGAUGAGUGGGUGGGGUGUUGAGAACCCAGCCAGGAAGUGAAAGCUGUCCAAGUGUGGAAGGUGAAGGUUCUGUAUCCUAGCCGCCUUGUGAUCAGAGACCAUAGAUGCCUACUAACUUCACAUCUUAAACAAACUUUUGAUAUAUUUUUUUUUAGGUUCUACAAAUCUGUAAGUAAUAAGCAUAUCCAAAUUUACAUAUAAUCGGACAGAUACCCAUUAAAUUAUUGAAAUACCCCAAAAACUAUCAUUUGAUUAGUGUCAGCAAAAUUGUGGACUAUCAUAUAAUUUCGAUAAUCAUUUUAUCUUUAGUCACCGUAGUACUUUCGUAGAUAAGUAAUGCGUUUUAUUUUCUGUGAACUUUCAAAUCAGCAUGUUAUCGGAUGGACGAGCAUGAUGUAUUUUUAAAUCACACACAUAAGUCAUGUGCGAGUUUAAAAAAAAAAAAAAA